rnacentral:rRNA from 1 species
AUGCUGCGCGACGGUUUCCGCACGAUGGUCACCAUAGGCAGCGACGACUGCAUCCGAUCCGGCAUGUGCGCCGUCGGCCGAUAUGAGUGGGAGAUAUGUGUAUACCCUGCAUGGACGGCGGGCAGCCCCGAUGGCGAUAAGUGGGUGGCGCUGCGCCUUGUCUUGCUAAGCAAACCCAACACCCCUGCUGUGAGGGCCAAUCUACGCUGCCAGGCGGUGAAUCCAAAUCUGUGGUACGAAACCCCAGUGAAGAAACAGCCGGGAGUAUUCGGGCGUCCCAAGAAUUCUACACCGUUUGUUUACCUCGUCUCGGUGAGUGAUGUUCAGAACAAGGGCUAUCUCGCUGCCGAUGCUUUGACCGUGGAAUGCACCAUCACGGUGCUCAAGGAGUCGCCGGCGCCGACUUCUCCGGCGAAAGAGAUGCCCGUGCCAUCGUCCAACUUGCACAAGAACCUCGGUGAUCUCCCGCAGACCGAGAUGGGGGCAGAUGUCACUUUUCUCGUAUCUGAUGAGUCUUUUGCUGCGCAUAAGAACAUACUUGCCGCGAGAUCCCCUGUUUUCAAGGCACAGUUUUUUGGAGAGAUGAAGGAGAAGGUGUCUCAAGAUGUUGUGGUUGAUGGUAUGGAGGCAGCAGGCUUCAAGGCCAUGCUUCACUUCAUCUACACCGACACUGUGCCCGAGCUUGAGCAAGGGCUCGAGGCGGUGAUGGCUCAGCAUCUUCUUGUGGCAGCUGACAGGUAUGGACUGGACAAGCUCAAGAUGUUCUGUGAAAACAAGCUCUCCAGUGGCAUCACCGUUGACACGGCGGCGACGACUUUGGCCUUGGCGGAGCAGCACAAUUGUUUACGUCUCAAGGCCAGCUGUGUCGAGUUCAUCGUUAGCACACCUGAAGUUAUUGACGCUGUCUUGGAGACGGAGGGGUAUAUGGAUUUGGCUGCAAGCUGUUUUUUUGUGUGGGUAGGCUGCAAGCUGUUCUUCUGUGCUGGCAGAUCUUCUCAAGUCUACGCGUGGGAGAAAUAA